CAGUAACACGUCGGUAACCUACCCUCGGGAGGGGGAUAACCCCGGGAAACUGGGGCUAAUCCCCCAUAGGCCUGGGGUACUGGAAGGUCCCCAGGCCGAAAGGGGCUCUGCCCGCCCGAGGAUGGGCCGGCGGCCGAUUAGGUAGUUGGUGGGGUAACGGCCCACCAAGCCGAAGAUCGGUACGGGCCAUGAGAGUGGGAGCCCGGAGAUGGACACUGAGACACGGGUCCAGGCCCUACGGGGCGCAGCAGGCGCGAAACCUCCGCAAUGCGGGAAACCGCGACGGGGGGACCCCCAGUGCCGUGGCACAGCCACGGCUUUUCCGGAGUGUAAAAAGCUCCGGGAAUAAGGGCUGGGCAAGGCCGGUGGCAGCCGCCGCGGUAAUACCGGCGGCCCAAGUGGUGGCCGCUAUUAUUGGGCCUAAAGC
rnacentral:rRNA from 1 species